ACUAUUGUUGUUGCAGCAAAUAUGUGGCUCUCAAGAAGUGUUAGGGUUUCUCUUCUUCCUUCCAUUGCCAAGUUUCCUCCAUUUCUUCCAAUCCACAAUUCCCUCUUUUGCUCUCACUCUCACCCUCAGACUUCCUUACACGACGAAGCCGUCUCACAAUUCAAUCGCUUGCUUCAUCAGCGUCAUGUUCCUCCCAUCUUCGAAUUUGGAAAGAUUUUGGGAUUUCUUGUGAGGGUGAAGCGCUACCCUACUGCUAUUUCUCUCAUUCAGCAAAUGGAGCUCAAGGGAAUUCACAAUAACUUUGUUAAUCUCAGUCUCCUCAUCAAUUGUUUCUGUCACUUAAACCAAUUGCCUUUUGCUUUCUCUGUAUUUGUCAAGAUUCUCAAAAGGGGUUAUCAUCCAAAUGCCAUAACCUUAAAUACACUCAUGAGAGGUCUAUGUGAUAACGGUGAGGUUAAGGAAGCCCUCAAUUUUCACGAUAAAGUAGUAGCACUAGGAUUUCGGCUCAACCAAUUUACUUAUGGGAUAUUGAUCAAUGGAUUGAGCAAAAUAGGUGAAACUGAAGCCGCCAUCGAAUUGCUCCGAAAGAUUCAAGGUCCAUCAACGGUAAUGUAUAACAUUAUUAUUGAUUCUUUAUUAAAAGAGAAACGUCCAAAAGAAGCUUAUGAUUUCUAUUCCGAGAUGGUUAUCAAAGGAAUUUCUCUUAAUCUUGUUAAUUAUAAUACUCUAAUUUAUGGCUUUUGCUUAGUGGGACAGGUAGAGGUAGCAUUUGGUUUUCUAAAUGAAAUGGUAUCAAAUAGCAUUAGGCCAAAUGUUUAUACCUAUAAUAUAUUGAUUGAUGCAUUAUGUAAGGAAAGAAAGUUAGGAGAAGCCAAGAAUGUGUUAGGUGUGAUGGUGAAAGAUUACGUGAAACCUGAUGUUUUUAGCUUUAAUGCUCUAAUGGAUGGGUAUUACGUAGUUAAUAAAGUGAAAAAUGCGAAACAAAUAUUCAGUGCAAUGACCCACAUGGGAGUGAGUCCUAAUGUUUGGACCUACACUAUCAUGAUAAAUGGACUCAUAAGGAACGAAAGGGUGGAUGAGGCCAUAAAUCUUUUUCAGGAAAUGCAGAACAGGAAUAUAAUUCCAAAUACUGUGACUUAUAAUACUCUUAUUGAUGGUUUAUGCAAAACUGGAAGAAUCUCUCAUGCUUGGGAUCUUUUUCAUGAGAUGCAUGGUAGAAAUCAACAAGCAGAUGUAAUCAUGUAUAAUUCUUUGAUUGAUGGUUUAUGCAAAAAUCAACAUCUAGACAAGGCAAUUGAAUUAUUGAGGAAAAUGAGAGAGAAUGGAAUUCAGCCCGAUAUGUGCACUGCAACCAUAGUUAUUGAUGGCAUGUGUAAAGGGGGGAGACUUAAAAAUGCACGAGAGAUUUUUCAAGAUUUAUUGAAUAAAGGUCACAGUCCCGACAUCCCUACUUAUAAUGUUAUGAUCAGUGGUCUUUGUAAGCAGGGUUUGCUUGAUGAAGCAUUGACCUUGUGGUCCAAAAUGGAAGACAGUGGUUGCUUAUCUAAUGUUAUAACUUUUCAAAUAAUCAUCUCUGCUCUGUUUAAGAACAAAGAGACUGAAAAGGCAGAGAAAUUUUUUUAUGAAAUGAUCUCGAGAGACUUGUUGAAUUGAUGAAAGGUGACACCUUAUUUGAAUAACAAUGUGUUUGUCAUAGAAUGUGCAUGAAUGAUUUGUAAUUUUGUAUUAGAUGAGUUGGUUUAGGUUGUAACCUCUGCUGCUGAUGUUUUCUUGGUCAAGGGUUGAUACAUUAUUAUUUUUUACUUUGCAUUUGGGAUUGCUAUCAAACUUCUAUUUUCUUUGACAUUACAUUUUAUUUGUAGAGUUUGUUUAACUGAUUAGUACAAAGGUGAAAUCAAUGAUUUUAUUUCCAAUUGUUUGAUAUUUUCCAUUGAUGUUUGUCAGAGACCAAAUAUGUUUUUAAUCUCGGCAAUAAUCAUCAUCAUGGUUCAAUACCACAAGAACUUGGUAAUUUAGCACAAUUGGAUACAUUGUCUCUCCAUAAUAAUUGCCUAACUGGUUCAAUCUAUUGUACAUUAGGUCUAUUGAAGAAUGUGGUCAGAUUUUAUGUUGAUUCAAACCAAUUUGCAGAUAUAUAACUUGGAAAUUUGACGCAAUUAAUGGAAUUACAUCUAUCAAAUAAUUUACUCACAAGUUCAAUCCUUUCUGCAUUGGGCGAAUAAGAGAAGUUGAUUAUUUUGUACUUUCAAAACAGUAAAAACGAAAUUGUCAAUUUAACUGUAUGAGUGUUCUUAUUGAAAAAAUCAAGUUGUCAAUUUAACUGUAUGAAACUUGUGAUCUAACAUAAAAGUUACUUGAAGCUGUUUUAAUAUACCAAAAUCAGUGAAUUUUGAAGCUUAGCUGAGUAACAACACUAAAAAAGUAACAGAACAUGGACUUAUGGAUGGUGGGGUGGUCUUGUUCUGGUAUUAUUAUUGACUAAUAUAUGUGGUUACAUUAUGAUUGAUGUUUGGUUGGAUAUCAGGUUUCUGGAAUGGACAAGAAGUACUGGUUCAUUCCUUCAUAUUCAGAUGAGGAUAUAUCCCAAAGAUACAAGCUCUACAAGGUCUUGACUAUCCUUCAAAACCUGACUUUGAUUCCCAAUAUUUAUAAUAAUGAAAUGUUAAAACUUACAUCUUCCUUCUAAGUGAUAUCCUUUAAAUGAGUGGAUUUUUUUCAUGCUAUUCCAAAUUUUACUUUCAAAUUUUAGAAAGUUUAUCCGUGUACAUCUAAAUUAAUAAGGAUAAACAAAAAAAUUUCUAUUAUUAUCCUACUCAUCUAUCACCCAUUUUUACUUUCACUUUUCUUGACCUAAACUUAGCGGCAUCUUCUUUUCGUGCUUCUUUCAUCUUUGUUCAUCUCCACCCAACUUUUUGUACCGAAUUUUGUCUUGCUCUUUUCUUUCUUAACUCUUUACUUCAAUACAUCGUUUGUUCAAUUAUUUUUGUUUAUAAUAGUUUAGUAUAGUUUAAAUGAAGGUAGAAAUAGGAUGGAGCCUUUAAUAGAAUUUUGAAAUCUGAUAUAUAUUC